AGAAAACUGUUCCUACAUCAGUGAAGGUUGAAUUAAUUCAAAAACUAGUCUCUUGUGGGCUACCUGUUGUUGAAGUGACGGGUUUUGUUUCUCCAAAAUGGGUGCCUCAGCUGUCGGAUGCCAAGGAUGUAAUGGAAGCAGUUAAGGAUCUGGAAGGUGCCAGAUUGCCUGUACUGACACCUAAUAUGAAAGGCUUUGAAGCAGCUGUUGCAGCUGGGGCGAAAGAAGUAGCAGUCUUUG
rnacentral:misc_RNA from 1 species